GACGAACGCUGGCGGCGUGCUUAACACAUGCAAGUCGAACGGAAAGGCCCUGCUUUUGUGGGGUGCUCGAGUGGCGAACGGGUGAGUAACACGUGAGUAACCUGCCCUUGACUUUGGGAUAACUUCAGGAAACUGGGGCUAAUACCGGAUAGGAGCUCCUGCUGCAUGGUGGGGGUUGGAAAGUUUCGGCGGUUGGGGAUGGACUCGCGGCUUAUCAGCUUGUUGGUGGGGUAGUGGCUUACCAAGGCUUUGACGGGUAGCCGGCCUGAGAGGGUGACCGGCCACAUUGGGACUGAGAUAAGGCCCAGACUCCUACGGGAGGCAGCAGUGGGGAAUAUUGCACAAUGGGCGGAAGCCUGAUGCAGCCACGCCGCGUGCGGGAUGACGGCCUUCGGGUUGUAAACCGCUUUCGCCUGUGACGAAGCGUGAGUGACGGUAAUGGGUAAAGAAGCACCGGCUAACUACGUG
rnacentral:rRNA from 1 species